rnacentral:rRNA from 1 species
UGGUGCAUGGUUGUCGUCAGCUCGUGUCGUGAGAUGUUGGGUUAAGUCCCGCACGAGCGCAACCCCUAUUGUUAGUUGCCAUCAUUCAGUUGGGCACUCUAGCGAGACUGCCGGUAACAAACCGGAGGAAGGUGGGGAUGACGUCAAAUCAUCAUGCCCCUUAUGACCUGGGCUACACACGUGCUACAAUGGUUGGUACAACGAGUUGCGAGUCGGUGACGGCGAGCUAAUCUCUUAAAGCCAAUCUCAGUUCGGAUUGUAGGCUGCAACUCGCCUACAUGAAGUCGGAAUCGCUAGUAAUCGCGGAUCAGCACGCCGCGGUGAAUACGUUCCCGGGCCUU